AGCUUUGUGCAGUGGCAAUAUUAUAGCCAAUGAGGGUUUAUCUAAGGCAUAAUUGUUGCUAAUUGAAUAAUUUGGAUAAAG
rnacentral:snRNA from 1 species